GUUUUCGAACCAUGGAGCGACAUAGCGUUUCGCUAUUCUGCGCUUUGUACUAAGGAUGACAGCAGUGAUCCGCUGCCACCUGACUCACCGGACUUCCACGACGAUGUCAACGAUCACGGGGAGCAAGUAGGCCCUCUGGUAGUAGUAGAAGGCGCACUCCGUGAUGACUUGAGCACCAAGGCAUUCGAUGGUUGCAGCCACCACGCAGCCCUAGUAGAGCAUGCCAGCGGCCAGGAGAAAGUUGCUGGCUCCAGCACCACUACCUCGAACAAGUGGCUUGCUCCUCCACCGGAGCUUGUGCAGUUGCUCGUUCACCCCCUCUACAACGACCAGACUUCCCAUGACACUGAAGUUCAGGUUGCCAACUACUUGGCCACAUAUGGAGCAGUUCAUGAAGGAAGCUCUCAAAAACAAUGAAAUUUCAUUCCCUGUGGAGAGGCUCUUCCAUUGUUAGAAUACCAGUGCCAUCGUCUUAAUGGAUACUGCAGAUGAAUGACCACACAAGACAUAUUAGUGCUUCUGUGUUACUAAAUUGCACAAUGAACAAGUCACAUGGCUUGUUUGAAAGAAAGAAAUAAAAAUUUUAACUCUUCA